rnacentral:rRNA from 1 species
GACGAACCGUGCGAACGUUGUUCGGAAUCACUGGGCUUAAAGGGCGCGUAGGCGGGUGCCCAAGUCGGGGGUGAAAUCCUCCAGCUUAACUGGAGAACAGCUUUCGAUACUGGGUGCCUCGAGUGAGGUAGGGGCAGGCGGAACGGUCGGUGGAGCGGUGAAAUGCGUUGAUAUCGACCGGAACUCCGGUGGCGAAGGCGGCCUGCUGGACCUUUACUGACGCUGAGGCGCGAAAGCCAGGGGAGCGAACGGGAUUAGAUACCCCGGUAGUCCUGGCCCUAAACGUUGAGGACUAGGUAGUGGACUUGACAUGGGUUCACUGCCGAAGCAAAAGUGCUAAGUCCUCCGCCUGGGGAGUAUGGUCGCAAGGCUGAA